rfam:Candidatus Thiomargarita nelsonii contig_1279, whole genome shotgun sequence.
AUAGUUCCUAAAUCUAUAGAAUAAUAUUCUAAAACUAGAAAUUUAUUAAUAGACAUGGAACUAACAGUGGGCUACUCUCGUUAGUAGCAGAAGUUAGAUAGGCCAUCACACCUACUGAUGUGAUUCCAGUUGGUAGCUCUGUGGUCUAACAUUAAGGGUAGUGGAAACAUGAAAGUGUGUUAGAUGUAAAAAACCUAUUUAACAAUCACGAGGAGUAUUUCAC